ACCAGGAUGGCCGAUUGGUUAAGCGUGCUGGACUUAAGAUCCAAUGGGCGUAUGUCCUCGUGGGUUCGAACCCCACCCUGGUA
rnacentral:tRNA from 1 species